AACGAACGCUGGCGGCAGGCUUAACACAUGCAAGUCGAGCGCCCCGCAAGGGGAGCGGCAGACGGGUGAGUAACGCGUGGGAAUCUACCCAUCUCUACGGAAUAACGCAUGGAAACGUGUGCUAAUACCGUAUACGUCCUUCGGGAGAAAGAUUUAUCGGAGAUGGAUGAGCCCGCGUUGGAUUAGCUAGUUGGUGGGGUAAAGGCCUACCAAGGCGACGAUCCAUAGCUGGUCUGAGAGGAUGAUCAGCCACACUGGGACUGAGACACGGCCCAGACUCCUAGGGGAGGCAGGGGUGGGGAAUAUUGGACAAGGGGCGCAAGCCUGAUCCAGCCAUGCCGCGUGAGUGAUGAAGGCCCUAGGGUGGUAACGCUCUUUCACCGGUGAAGAUAAUGACGGUAACGGGAGAAGAAGCCCCGGCAAACUUCGUGCCAGCCGCCGCCGCGGUAA
rnacentral:rRNA from 1 species